rnacentral:rRNA from 1 species
UGGGGAAUUUUGGACAAUGGGGGAAACCCUGAUCCAGCCAUGCCGCGUGCAGGAUGAAGGUCUUCGGAUUGUAAACUGCUUUUGUCAGGGACGAAAAGGUUUCGGUUAAUACCCGAAACUGCUGACGGUACCUGAAGAAUAAGCACCGGCUAACUACGUGCCAGCAGCCGCGGUAAUACGUAGGGUGCAAGCGUUAAUCGGAAUUACUGGGCGUAAAGCGUGCGCAGGCGGUUCCGUAAGAUAGAUGUGAAAUCCCCGGGCUUAACCUGGGAAUUGCAUUUAUGACUGCGGAACUGGAGUUUAUCAGAGGGGGGUGGAAUUCCAAGUGUAGCAGUGAAAUGCGUAGAUAUUUGGAAGAACACCAAUGGCGAAGGCAGCCCCCUGGGAUACGACUGACGCUCAUGCACGAAAGCGUGGGGAGCAAACA